rnacentral:rRNA from 1 species
CCUACGGGUGGCAGCAGUGGGGAAUAUUGGACAAUGGGCGAAAGCCUGAUCUAGCCAUGCCGCGUGUGUGAAGAAGGCCUUCGGGUUGUAAAGCACUUUCAGUGGGGAAGAAAGCCUUGGGGCUAAUACCCUCGAGGAAGGACAUCACCCACAGAAGAAGCACCGGCUAACUCCGUGCCAGCAGCCGCGGUAAUACGGAGGGUGCGAGCGUUAAUCGGAAUUACUGGGCGUAAAGCGCGCGUAGGCGGUCUGAUAAGCCGGUUGUGAAAGCCCCGGGCUCAACCUGGGAACGGCAUCCGGAACUGUCAGGCUAGAGUGCAGGAGAGGAAGGUAGAAUUCCCGGUGUAGCGGUGAAAUGCGUAGAGAUCGGGAGGAAUACCAGUGGCGAAGGCGGCCUUCUGGACUGACACUGACGCUGAGGUGCGAAAGCGUGGGUAGCAAACAGGAUUAGAUACCCGGGUAGUC